UCCUGCCGGACCUGACUGCUAUCGGAUUGAUACUAAGCCAUGUUAGUCUUUGUAGUAAUACAAGGCAUACGGCUCAGUAACACGUAGUCAACCUAACUUAUGGACGGGGAUAACUUCGGGAAACUGAUGAUAAUACCCGAUAGGUCAUUAUGCCUGGAAUGGUUUUUGGCUUAAAUGAAUUUCGCCAUAGGAUGGGACUGCGGCCUAUCAGCUUGUUGGUGAGGUAAUGGCCCACCAAGGCUAUAACAGGUACGGGCUCUGAGAGGAGUAGCCCGGAGAUGGGUACUGAGACAAGGACCCAGGUCCUAUGGGACGCAGCAGGCGAGAAAACUUUGCAAUGUGCGAAAGCACGACAAGGUUAAUCCGAGUGUUUCCUGCUAAAGGAAUCUUUUGUUAGUCGUAGAACCACUGAUGAAUAAGGGGUGGGCAAGUUCUGGUGUCAGCCGCCGCGGUAAAACCAGCACCUCAAGUGGUCAGGAGGAUUAUUGGGCCUAAAGCAUCCGUAGCCUGUUUUGCAAGUCUUCGGUUAAAUCCACAUGCUUAACAUGUGGGCUGCCGGAGAUACUGCAAAACUAGGGAGUGGGAGAGGUAGACGGUACUUGGUAGGAAGGGGUAAAAUCCUUUGAUCUAUUGAUGACCACCUGUGGCGAAGGCGGUCUACCAGAACACGUUCGACGGUGAGGGAUGAAAGCUGGGGGAGCAAACCGGAUUAGAUACCCGGGUAGUCCCAGCUGUAAACGAUGCAGACUCGGUGAUGCAUUGGUUUAUUGCCAGUGCAGUGCCGCAGGGAAGCCGUUAAGUCUGCCGCCUGGGGAAGUACGUACGCAAGUAUGAAACUU
rnacentral:rRNA from 1 species